rnacentral:tRNA from 1 species
GAGGUUUUAGCUUAAUUAAAGUGCUUGAGUUGCAUUCAGGAG